UCGUAAGAAAACGCUCGAGUACAGAGAGGGGAAAUAAGAGUACAACAUGAAAAUACUACUACUUUAUUUUCCAGGAGAAUCGAUUAUCUCUAAUCAAUUUUUGACAAUUUUUAUGCACAGCCGAACGAUGUCGGCUGUUAUCAGGGGAAAUCUUUGAUUCAAUAUCUACCAAUUUUGAUAUCGUUAUACGUGUAAACGCCAGAAAAGCUCAGCUUUCACGGAAGAUUGCUGCUGAUCGCUGAUUGUGUCUAUUUGCGGAUUAUAGGAAAGCAUUAGGGAGCAUUUAGUAUUAAAUUUCUCGACCCUCUUAAGCGAUAUGCGAUACCGAUGCCGGCUGCAUCGAUGAUUGAUUAUGUUCGAUAUUUCACUCAAUGAGCGUUCAUUGACAUUGAAACCGAUAUUGUGAUGAUAAAGCAAAAAAAUAAAACAGCAGAUAGGCUCAUCUUUCUGUCACAUUUAUAAAUCGCGUUCACAUACAUCCACACACGUGCACGGCACCAUAAUCGCAAUCUUAUUUCAAUCUAUAAUUAUAAUGAUGGUGUGUAUAACAUGUUCUUCAGGUUUUAAUACUUUAAUAGUGAACCCAAUUAAUUUCCAGCGUGAGCCCGUGAUAAUGUUAACUUUGUUUCUUGCAUUAAUAUUAUCCAAAUGAUAUUUUAUCUUAUUUUCAAUCAGUAUCCCCAUAAUACAGUUCAUAAAAUUAUUCUUACUUAAGUUAUUCAAAUCAUCACCCAUAUACGGAUAAGAGAAUGCACGUGGAUAUUUUUUAUCCAUAUAUGGGUGACGGAAUGGUCUAAAUGUUAAAAGCAUUAAAAGAAAAGAAUUAAACAUGAAAAAUGCGUAAACAAUUGCCGAAUUUGUUCUAUCGUGUUGCUACGACAAUUAUAAUGCGUAUGUUAAAAGCAUAUGUAUGUUAAAAAUUAGUUCCAUUCAAUGUAUUUCUAUAAGAGAAUAUAGCUGAUUAAAACACGUUGGUGUUAAAAUGAUCGUAACAAGAAGCACACGUUUUUUCAACCGGUUCUCGUAUGCUCCGCGAGACAUGUUACAUAUCGACAAGAAUAGCGUGAAAAGUGGCAUUAAUGACAGAUUAACAUUGGCUGGAGAGAUUUUGCGUCGCCGACUCAGGUAACGAAAAUCAUAAACGGUUUGCAAGCCUUGGAAGUUAAUACGAGGUCAUGAUUCUCGAGAAAGCCAUCGUCCCCGAGCUUCGUGUCGUAACGAGAUCCGUCCAUGAGCGACGAGAAGAGAAACAAACCGCAGAUAUACACUCCGCAUGCGCGUAUCGCAUCGACGAUUAUUACCAACGUUUGUCUGACCAGUAUGCACUCGAUUAAUUUUUACUCUCGGCUAUGCACUCAACGCUCGAAAAGCUACCUUUAAACUUUCAAAGUCCUGUAUCUGCACUUCACUGGAGGUGGAUUUCACAAUCAUCCGCAAUCUCUCGCGUGUUUUUUUUCAGAUUAUACUGAUAAUACUUGAAUCGUUUUAAUUGCAAAUGCUAAUUGCGAGUACUGAUCAAAUCUUUUUCAGGAAUAAGGAGACUAGUCUUUGAUUCUGUGAUGCAUAUUUUUAUUCAUAUAACUUCCUCCAAUAAAUAUGAAUAUAAAAGCUAACAUUAAAAGUUAACGUUGUUAACAAAAGAGGGAAUAUUAUCUUCUUUAUGUGCUAUAUACAUAAAACGCUAUAACUGCUAUAAUUCUUGACAUUAGUCUUAAAUGUUAUUAGUCUUCGACGUAACGAUCUCCAAGAAAAAUAUCGAUCGCAAUAUCAAUCUGACGGACUCGAUGUACUUUAUGUACUUGACGUCAGCAAAGCGUAGUACUCUUCCUGCUUUGUUCGCUAUUUGUGCGGCAUCGCAACGUAAUGAUGACGACAAAGUCGACAGAAGGACUGCUUUCGUUUCAACGUCCUCGAGGCAUACAUUGGCCACGGGCACGAUGCCAAAAACGAAAAAACGAAAGAGCCGCGCCGACAAAGUUGUAUUAAUAUCGCGAGACUAUAAGAGAAACGUCGACCUUUAAUAAUAGAUUUUGGAUGUUUAAUCUUGAUCGAACUGCAAUUGCCAAUUGGCGAUAUCCAAUCUUGACCGAUGUAUCGGUUUUCGUUACUUUACGUUUAGAAAGAUAUAUUUCGAAACACUUAGAGAAAAUCAAAUCGUGUCACGUGGUAAAGAUAUAUAGAAAUCCUGCCGUAGCAAGAGAUUGAGCAUAUCAAAUUAAUUAAUGAGUGGUCAGGAAUUACUUUCUGAUUUGACAAGUUAUUUUAUCUAAAAGCAAUUCUUUAUGUAUUCUGUAAUGAUUAUGUUAUUUGAUACUCUCUAGACAUUCAAAGAGAAAAGAAACGAAACACAAUUAUCAAUUAUAUAUCGAUAAUUAUACUAAACUUUUAAUUAUUACGUUCUAAGUAUAUAACUAUAUAACGUCCUAAGUAAAAUUUGGUUUACUUGAAACUUUGAGAUGAUACGCAAUGAAGCUAAAAAUAUAAAUCUGAUCUCAUUUGGUGUGCACUACCUACUAGGGGUUAAUGACACGAGGAGACAGAGAUGCAGAUCCAAAACAUUUAAUGUAAAUCCUGAAUUUAUGAUGUACAAGUGAAAUUUUGUUGCGACAGGUACAUGUUCUCUCAAAAUAACAGAAACAAUAUAUAUGUGGAAUUACAGUGCAAUUAAAAGACGCGGAGUUGUUCUUAGGGUGCGUGUGCAGUCCUGGAGAAAAUAUUCCUUGAAGAGUUUCUCCUGGUAGUGACAGACUCCUCGAUACUUUCGCCUAGCGUGUAACGAUUGAAUAUACCGUUACCGGACAUCGACUCCGGAGGUGUGCAAUAUGCAAUAUACCAGCAAAUGCGACAUUACAUUCUCGAGAGUAUACACCUUGCAUUAUCACUCAAUGUUUAGUUAUUCAAGUACCAGUUGUAUGGAGAGUGCUCAAGGCACAUCUCGCGAUUCUUCUGAAUUACUUGAAUUCGCAUAUUGUAUUUGUAAAUCCUGUGUAAUAGCUAACAACUUGUGUAAUAUGAUGCGAAUGAGAUUUCUCAUAAUUCCGGAAUUAUUCUUUAUGAGAUGCCGGAUAUGAUGUUUUUUGUAGAUAUAAUGCAAAGCUAAAGUCCAGUCUUGUUUUUCUUCUUCUCGCGUUCUUGUUUCUUUUUAGUUUCCUUACGUCAUACAGUUCAAUUAAAAAUUAAGGAUGAUUUUGUUUCCACUUUGAUUGCUCCGUCAUACUUAUUUCUUGUUUGCAUUGCUCGAUGAGAAAAAUGAAUAUAAAUUUAUAUUAAGUUAUUUAUAUACCUUCAUGAUAUAAUAUACAAUAGAACACAUAAAACUUAAAUAAACACAUUUUAUCCUUGUUAUGCAAGUUUAAUUGGUUUCAAGAAAACCGCUAAAACUUCUCGUGCUUCGUGGAAGUUCUCCACGUGCAAAAACCGCAUUGACUUAUCUCCACAGACAAGAGGAAAAGCACUUUCGAUAUAAAAGAGAUAAGAAAAGAUCUCUCCAUUCGAUAAUGUCCAGUUUAGGCUGGCGUCGUAUCGCAUUGUUUUACGUACGUGAUACAGAUGAUAAAAGUGAUAAAUGAUACAGUGACGUGUCUUGCUUUGUUUUGCAAAAGAAUUUUUGAAGAUAUCAUUUCCGCCUUUUGAGUUUGUAUUUACUCAAGUGUGUUCCUCGUCGCAAGUGUGACAAUUAAGCAGGAAGCCUUCUGCUUACGGUUACUCAAUAGCGCAAACCUCAUCGAGAGUUUUUGCCAUCUUUCAAAUUAACAUUUAUUUUGUUACGUAUGCGUAAGGUCACUUGCGACACGAAGUGCAAUCGUGGUAUUUCAAUGUAGUGUUAUCACUCCGACGACACCAACAACGUCGAACCUCCACGUCACCGCACGUAUCGGAACGUUUCGCAAUUUUUGCAUAUCUUUUCUGCGAUGAUUUUACUUCAAGAAUGCAGUUUAUCGUGGAACCGUGAGUUUUUCAAUGUGUGAGAAUUUUUCUAGUUUUGUAACUGCGGAGUAUUAACAUUUUCUGUCCCCGAUCUUUGAUAUCGUCUAAAAUUUUUGGGUUUCGAAAUGGAUAUGGUCUCCAGAUGUUUUGAGCAUUUAAUAUCGUUCAUCUACUUUCGCUUCAUGGACAUUUUCGAUCAUCGGACACUCGAGCAUGUUCUCACAGAUAUCUCGAGUCCGUCUCAUGUUCAGUGUGCACAUAUGCACAUUUGCGUGACACUCAGAGACCAACGAAAUCAUUGCAAUUUUACACGUGUCUUGUAGCUACAAUCCCGCAAUCUCCAUCAUAUUCCGUGUCCUUGUUGUAUCACGUUUCUACUUGCUUCAUAAUACUGUUCUUGUCGUCGCAAAUUCCAUAAACUUCGCUAGCGCCUAUCAGAAUUUCACAACCCAGCUGGUCAUUAGUCUGACUCGUCAUCUAUGUGAUGACGUAUGCAAGUUAAUAACAUAGAUAAAUUGAUAGAUAAGGAAAAAGAGAAAAGCAUCUUCCAUGUACAAGACAUACUUGUCUAAUUCAAUUCUCUUUAACAGCAUUAACAGACGAAAUUAAUUCAACAAAAAUGCAUUGCGAAUUAUUAUUAAAUCAAAUGUAACGAUAUCUUAAGUAUAUCGAGGAAUAUAAAAUUAUAUAUUAUACAUAUAAAAUUAAAAUACACAUAAGUAUGUUUCUCACAAAAACAUAAACAGUAUUAUAAUAAAAUAAGAAAAAUAAUAAUCUUCUUACUCAUAAAUAAAUGGUGCAAAGAUCGAUAAAGGAUCUGUGGAUCAUGAUCGAUGUCGAUUUAAAACAGAUUUUUAGAAACUAACUUUCGAGAAGUGGAAUUUAAACAAUUUCAGUGAACCGAUGCUUCAUGGCAUGUUGCAGACAGCAAGGAGCGGGACGAGAUGUGCGGGAACGAGACCGCGAGUAGAUCGAAACGCAUCGCGACGCUUUUCUCUCGUGUACCGGUGCGAGGAAGCAUUACUCUAAUCUCGACAGGCACUUAAAUCAUUAUCUAACACCGCCAAGCACAAAGAGACGCGCGAGAUAUUGCAUCGUCCACGACGCACGUUAUAUGCUAUUUAAACCGCGUGCAAACGCGAGCGAUCCGCGUGCGUGCGCGCAAGAGCCGAUGCGAAGUGCACGCGCGUGUUCCACUUCGUGAGCUGGCACUAGCGAAACUUUCGUCGCGCGUGCAGUAACGCGCGAGUGAUAGAACACGCGCGAUCACAUCGCAUCGAAUCACUGUGAGUCAGACUUUGUAUAUCACUAAAAAAAAGAGAAACAGAAAACGCAUCCUCAUGCAACGAUAUUCCGAGAAUGAAGUAAAAGGAAACUGCUCGCCCGAUGAAAAGAUGAAGCCGAGAGGAUGCGUGGAUCUUAUGUACCGCGUAAAGUGCGUAUCGGAUUGGCGAUUGAGCAUUGGAAAUUGAGCGAUGGAAACGUUGUCUACAAAACAUUUUGAUUGAUCGAAUCGGGAUCUCUAAUGUGCGAUUUUAAUCUCCAAUAGUCUAUAUUCAAAAGGCGUCUACAACGAUAAAAACGUCUCUAAAAGUAGCUUAAAAACCGCCUGAUUGGCUGAGAAGUCACAUUGACGGCGCUUUUAUCGAUAAAAGUGAAUUGAGAAUAUGGGCCUUAAUCUCCAAUGAAUAAUCGGAAUAGUCUGGGUUUACGGUUUAUGUUUGGAACAUCCUCAAGCAGAGCGGAGAGAGUGAUUGGCUCGAUGUGUCUACGGUUUAGUACGUAACCGUUAGAUUACAGGUGAUCAAUGGCACGCGAGCGCUGUUUGGACUGCACAUGGUGAUCUCUAAAUGGCAUGCAAGCGUUGCAACAGAUAUGAUUGCUAGCUCUUUAUGCUUAUACGCUUUACAAUCCUAGAGAUGGCACGUGAUUAAUCGUGAUGCGUAAUGUCGGAAAUUUGGCUCGUUAUUAGUUGAAAGUAGGCCGUCACUUUUAGGUCAGACAGUAUUUAUUCGGAAAUCAUUACGUUGGCCGACUUAGGACUCCAAGAGCGUCCUGCCGAACAACUUUUAAAUCAUGUGCAAUUGAUUUCUCUCAACUUCUGCGUAAUACCCGAAGGAUAUUUUUCAAGCUGUGAUCGAAAACUUAUUGUAUUAUUUCGAUAACAUUCCAAUAACGAAGAUAAUCGAAAUGUUUAAAGAAUAUCGAAAGAAUUUCUUAAUGAAUCGUUAAAACAUUUUCCGUUAAAACAUUUUCAUUUCAUUGAAACGGAUCCUAAUGAGUCCCCUAGUCGACUCAUCGCGUGCCUGUUCAGUGGCGUAUAGUAAGCGGCUUUAAAUGCUAUUUACGUGUAUUCGCCACGAUGCACAUUAACGGCAUGUUAAUGGCGCCGAGGAAAGAAAGGAAACAGUUUUUCGCAUUCAAGGAUUCUCGCGCCGCUUAAUAGAAAUUAAUAUACAGGUGUCUCAGAAAUUCUGUUACGGUAUACGACGCGUAAAAACGGGAAAAGAGCAAACCGUUGGAUCAUCCGGAGAUAGAGACGUUGCAUGUCAUAUCGAAUUUUCGAAAAAUAAUUAUCAGACUAAACAAACUCGCACGAUAACUGACCUAUGUUACUUUAAUACGAUGACAUUUCAGCAUAACAAGUAUCUUCCAUGUAUCGUGCGUCGAGUAGCCAACUCGUUUUCCGGAAAAAAGUGCUACAGCGAACUCUCGGAUUGGCUGAUAAGUUCAUACACCAGCCAGAUCGGUCGGCUUCAGGGCGCAGUCGGAGAGUUCACCGAAUCCGGAGAAGGAAUAAAGGGAGUCAAGCGAGUUCGGCAAAAGGAUGAUGCUCCAUGUUAGGAACCGGGUGUUCGAGCCGCAAGGAAUUUCGAGGAUUCGAAAGAGACGACGGUUUUACGGCUGCUUGGCAACGAGGCCAGGCACCUAGCCAGACGAACCAGCCAGCGGCAACCGGAGGCGCCUGCCGCGGGUCCGACAAUCCGUUGAGGUCAGAGCCCCUCUCACAAAGAAGGGCCCCUCCCUUGGCGCCCUCGAAUGGUUAUACAGGGUGUCUCUCCUCCGUUAUACCAAAGCGCAUCGACGCGUGAUGGAACCGCUUGUCGCGUUUCGAAAUUCGCUCGGCACGAUCAGCUGAUAAUACCGCAAACGGAUAGAAAAAAACAUAUUAUCAGUAAAAAAAGAACCCUCUAUCAACGUUAUUUGCUCGCUAAGAUCUACUUAGAAGAGAGAUUUUUGUCAGCCCGUUGCUGCGCUCUGAUCCAACAAGUUCGAUAUCGAGUUAUGUGAAAUUAUUAAGUAAUUUCGCUUUGAUAAAGUUAGUCAGGACGACUUGAAAAUGAUGAAGAAAUCAUAAAAAUAGUGAAUACGCGGUAAUCCGGGGUAGAUAAAGUGCUCAAAGGCACUGGAGACUAGUAAAACGUACCAAGUAGAACCUCCCUUAAUAAAUAAACUUCAAUCAUUUAUUUUUGCGAUAUUUUAUCGCCAACGAAAAUCAGUAUGCUAUGCGAAUUCGCGCCAAGCGACAAACGUGUGUCGCCCAAAUUCGAUUUCCGAAUUCCGGCAGUGUCGAAUUCAAGAUUUUAUUGCGACGAGUACGAGACGCUACGAUGCCAAUAAUUGAAUCACUUGUUAGCUCGCGACAGAUAGUGACUAUGAUAAAUAAAGUCAAGUUGAAUCAAGGCUCAAA